CCGAGUUUACAACUCCCAAACCCCCUGUGAACUUAUACCAUUACUGUUGCUUCGGCGGGUUAUUGCCCCGGGGAAGGACAGGCUGCCGCAAGGUGCCCUGCCGCCCCCCCGGAAACAGGCGCCCGCCGGGGGACUUAAACUCUAUAAUUUUUUCUUGUUUUAGUGUAUACUGUCUGAGUAAAAAAACAUAAUGAAUCA
rnacentral:misc_RNA from 1 species